rnacentral:tRNA from 1 species
GGGGCUAUAGCUCAGCUGGAAGAGCGCUUGCGUGGCACGCAAGAGGUCGCCGGUUCGAGCCCGGCUAGCUCCA